UUGCAUAUAACUUCAUUAGAACAAUCCAAAAACGAUAAGUAGACUGACAAAUCAAGUACUGGUCUUCGGAAGGGGGCAGUCCUGUCUGCGUAUUCAUUUCUCCGUUUCACCAACUUUUGACAAAUCAAGUAAUGGGCAUCGCAAGGGGGCAGUCCUGUCUGUGUAUUCAUUUCACGAACUUUAAUCUUUCUCUUUACAGAUAAAUAAAAUAUAAAUAAUAUGAAACAUGCAUGGAUUAGUUUUUAUCCAUGUUUCUUUAACCUUAAAAAUUGAAAGAAUAUCC
rnacentral:lncRNA from 1 species